UAGCCUAGUGGUUAAGACUCUGGAUUUCCAAUCCGGAGACGACGGGUUCGAUUCCCGU
rfam:Aedes albopictus isolate Foshan contig25319, whole genome shotgun sequence.